UCCCUGUUACCAGGGCAGUCUGACUAGAAAAAUUCAACUAGCCACAAGGGUUGCGCUCGUUGAUGGACUUAACCAAACAUCUCACGACACGAGCUGACGACGGCCAUGCAACACCUGUCACUUGAUUCCCGAAGGCACUUUUUGCUUUCGCAAAAAUUCCAAGGAUGUCAAGCCUGGGUAAGGUUCUUCGCUUACCAUCGAAUUAAACAACACGCUCCACCGCUUGUGCGGGUCCCCGUCAAUUCCUUUAUGUUUUAGUCUUGCGACCGUACUCCACAGGCGGGAUGCUUAACGCGUUAGCUUCGCUACUACUCGGGUCGAUACGAAUAACAGCUAGCAUCCAUAGUUUACGGCGUGGACUAC
rnacentral:misc_RNA from 1 species